UGACACUGAGGUGCGAAAGCGUGGGUAGCGAACAGGAUUAGAUACCCUGGUAGUCCACGCCGUAAACGAUGACAACUAGCUGUUGGGAGACAAGAUCUCUCAGUGGCGCAGCUAACGCUUUAAGUUGUCCGCCUGGGGAGUACGGCCGCAAGGUUAAAACUCAAAUGAAUUGACGGGGACCCGCACAAGCGGUGGAGCAUGUGGUUUAAUUCGAUGCAACGCGAAAAACCUUACCUACUCUUGACAUACUUGGAAGCUCUUGUAAUGAGAGUGUGCUUUUAGAGCCAAGAUACAGGUGCUGCAUGGCUGUCGUCAGCUCGUGUCGUGAGAUGUUGGGUUAAGUCCCAUAACGAGCGCAACCCUUACCCUUAUUUGCCAGCGGUUCGGCCGGGAACUAUAAGGGGACUGCCGGUGACAAACCGGAGGAAGGUGAGGACGACGUCAAGUCAUCAUGGCCCUUACGAGUAGGGCUACACACGUGCUACAAUGGGGAAUACAGACGGACGCUAAAGCGUGAGCUGGUGCCAAUCCUAAAAAAUUUCUCGUAGUCCGGAUUGCAGUCUGCAACUCGACUGCAUGAAGUCGGAAUCGCUAGUAAUCGCGAAUCAGCAUGUCGCGGUGAAUACGUUCUCGGGUCUUGUACACACCGCCCGUCACACCAUGGAAGUGUGUUGCACCAGAAGUAGGUAGUCUAACCUUCGGGAAGGCGCUUACCACGGUGUGAUCCAUGACUGGGGUGAAGUCAUAACAAGGUAACCGUA
rnacentral:rRNA from 1 species